rnacentral:rRNA from 1 species
AGAGUUUGAUUCUGGCUCAGGAUGAACGCUGGCGGCGUGCCUAACACAUGCAAGUCGAACGGAGCACCCCGGAACGAGACUUCGGUCAAGGGAAGGGAAUGCUUAGUGGCGGACGGGUGAGUAACGCGUGAGGAACCUGCCUUCCAGUGGGGGAUAACACAUCGAAAGGUGUGCUAAUACCGCAUAACGUAUGUUUACCGCAUGGUAGAGAUACCAAAGAUUUAUUGCUGGAAGAUGGCCUCGCGUCCAAUUAGCUAGUUGGCGGGGUAAAUGCCCACCAAGGCGACGAUUGGUAGCCGGACUGAGAGGUUGAACGGCCACAUUGGGACUGAGACACGGCCCAG